GACCCUCCCACAAGCUUUUUCCCUUUCUAGCCUGACGGGGACCCUGGACCCAACCCUGAGAAACUUCAGCUGUCUGCCAAAGGUGACAGAGCCACUCAGCUAGGGUCCCUGAACGACAAGCACUCUUGCGUGUGUGACGGAAAUGGGAUCCCUCCAGGUCCACUUGUGACUCCACCUGACAGUCACCCUGUGCCCUUACUGCUUACUGUCUUCUCCCUCCAUGUGAACCACAUGCCGAGAGACCCUGUGGGCGCAGACAGGAGAGCUGUGGUUAGCAGGUGCCACGUCUGCUGCUGCUGCUGCAGCCCCGCGAGGUCCCAGGAGAGCAAGGAGCCGGGUACUCACGCGACUUUUCUUCUUUGAUGGUGUACUCGAGCACCUCAGAGGAGCCGUCGCUCGGGGAAGGGAAGUGCACACAGAGCACCAGGCGCUUCAAGCUGCUGUCCCUGCGGACCAGGAACAUCUGGAACCAAGAAGAGGCAGCUCCAUGAACCACAGUUGGGGGAGGCCAGAAGGACAUCAGGGAGCUGCUGUCAUCCGCAGGUUCCCAGGGCAGGAGGCAGGUGAAGAGACACGGCUGUCCCUGCUCACCCAGGACCUGCUCCCUCAGGCUGGGUGACAGCUGACUGAGCCACAGGACGCGCAGGAAGCUUAGCCUGCCAAGGACUCCCAGCUGUGGGCACAGAACUGGCAUCCAGCCCCGACACAGGCACUGGUGCCCAGGACCCUCUGACAUGGGCUUCUCCAUGCAGACCCCAGGACCGGCAGACCUGACUCUGUCUUGCCACGGAGUCUCUCCCCUGGACCGGAACCUGCCUGUGCUUUGACCCGGGGGUGGAACUGUGAGCUGAGGCCUGAACAUAGCCGGUGGAUUUGUUGACAUCUCUGGCUCAGGCCAUGGUUCCACUCCAGGGGGGGUCCCCACGGGCAGUGGUCUCCGUGGGGCGAUCAAGGGGAGAGGCCUCUCUGCUGUCUGUCACAAACUGCUGCCUUACAAUGUCCAUUUCAGACUCAGCUGGCCCUGCCCAAGCUCAUACCUCCUUCCCAGGUGACACCUUUGGGAACCACCCUGACUCCUGGGGCACAGCCUCCAGGGAAGGAGAGGGCCCCCUCCCCCCUCCCCUGCCCUGGAGUCUAAGUCUCCUGCACUCGGGCCCCAGGACCCCAGCCAGGACUAUGGCCCACCUUGCUGAGUCAGGCUGGGUGUAAGGCCAUGGGACACCCCAGAGGGCAAGCACAUGGCCUCAAGCCUGGGAGGCUCUGGAGGAGCACUUCCCGCGAGGCUCCAGGUCCUCUGCCGUCGGUACUGGUUACUGAUCUUCUUACUAUAUUGCUAGCAUUAUAACCGCUACUGCAAUUAUUAAUAAAACAUAGUAAUAAUAUUACUACUAUUGA